rnacentral:rRNA from 1 species
GUAAUCAAAAGCUUGUUAAUUGUAAGCCAGCAUGAAAGAAAUUACCCAUACUUACUUUUUUUUAUUUAAAAAUGAACUUAAAAGAAAUUAAAAAAUAAUUCUCUUUCUACUAGACGAGAAGACCCUAAAAACUUUUUAAAGAAAAAAUUAUUUGGGGAAAAUAUAAAAAUUUAUCUUUUUAAACAAUUUUAUAAGAACUUAAAAAUAAGUUACUUUAGGGAUAACAGAGCAAUUUUUAAUCAAAGUACUAAUUUACUUAAAAUAUUGCGACCUCGAUGUUGGAUUUUUGAUUCUAUUAGUUGCAGCAAACUAGAGAGAAUAGACUGUUCGUUUUUUUAAUCAAA